UACAGAGGUUGCAAGCGUUGUUCGGAAUUACUGGGCGUAAAGGGCGCGUAGGCGGCCUCGCAAGUCCCGUGUGAAAUCCCUCGGCUCAACUGAGGAAUGGCACGGGAAACUGCGGGGCUUGAGUUCGGGAGAGGGAAGCGGAAUUCCAGGUGUAGCGGUGAAAUGCGUAGAUAUCUGGAGGAACACCGGUGGCGAAGGCGGCGUUCUGGACUGCAACUGACACUGAUGAACGAAAGCCAGGGGAGCAAACGGG
rnacentral:rRNA from 1 species